GAAGGGGCGGGUGCUAUACAUGCAGUCGAACGCUUCUUUUUCCACCGGAGCUUGCUCCACCGGAAAAAGAAGAGUGGCGAACGGGUGAGUAACACGUGGGUAACCUGCCCAUCAGAAGGGGAUAACACUUGGAAACAGGUGCUAAUACCGUAUAACAAUCAAAACCGCAUGGUUUUGAUUUGAAAGGCGCUUUCGGGUGUCGCUGAUGGAUGGACCCGCGGUGCAUUAGCUAGUUGGUGAGGUAACGGCUCACCAAGGCCACGAUGCAUAGCCGACCUGAGAGGGUGAUCGGCCACAUUGGGACUGAGACACGGCCCAAACUCCUACGGGAGGCAGCAGUAGGGAAUCUUCGGCAAUGGACGAAAGUCUGACCGAGCAACGCCGCGUGAGUGAAGAAGGUUUUCGGAUCGUAAAACUCUGUUGUUAGAGAAGAACAAGGAUGAGAGUAACUGUUCAUCCCUUGACGGUAUCUAACCAGAAAGCCACGGCUAACUACGUGCCAGCAGCCGCGGUAAUACGUAGGUGGCAAGCGUUGUCCGGAUUUAUUGGGCGUAAAGCGAGCGCAGGCGGUUUCUUAAGUCUGAUGUGAAAGCCCCCGGCUCAACCGGGGAGGGUCAUUGGAAACUGGGAGACUUGAGUGCAGAAGAGGAGAGUGGAAUUCCAUGUGUAGCGGUGAAAUGCGUAGAUAUAUGGAGGAACACCAGUGGCGAAGGCGGCUCUCUGGUCUGUAACUGACGCUGAGGCUCGAAAGCGUGGGGAGCAAACAGGAUUAGAUACCCUGGUAGUCCACGCCGUAAACGAUGAGUGCUAAGUGUUGGAGGGUUUCCGCCCUUCAGUGCUGCAGCUAACGCAUUAAGCACUCCGCCUGGGGAGUACGACCGCAAGGUUGAAACUCAAAGGAAUUGACGGGGGCCCGCACAAGCGGUGGAGCAUGUGGUUUAAUUCGAAGCAACGCGAAGAACCUUACCAGGUCUUGACAUCCUUUGACCACUCUAGAGAUAGAGCUUCCCUCUUCGGGGGCAAAGUGACAGGUGGUGCAUGGUUGUCGUCAGCUCGUGUCGUGAGAUGUUGGGUUAAGUCCCCGCCAACGAGCGCAACCCUUAUUGUUAGGUGGCCAUCCAUUUCAAGUUUG
rnacentral:rRNA from 1 species